UACGUAGGGUGCGAGCGUUAAUCGGAAUUACUGGGCGUAAAGCGUGCGCAGGCGGUUCGUUAAGUUCGUUGUGAAAGCCCCGGGCUCAACCUGGGAACUGCAAUGGAAACUGGCGGGCUUGAAUGCGGCAGAGGGGGGUGGAAUUCCUGGUGUAGCAGUGAAAUGCGUAGAUAUCAGGAGGAAUACCGAUGGCGAAGGCAGGUCUCUGGGCUGACACUGACGCUCAUGCACGAAAGCGUGGGGAGCAAACAGG
rnacentral:rRNA from 1 species